CAGCCGCCGCGGUAAUACAGAGGGUGCGAGCGUUAAUCGGAUUUACUGGGCGUAAAGCGUGCGUAGGCGGCUUCUUAAGUCGGAUGUGAAAUCCCUGAGCUUAACUUAGGAAUUGCAUUCGAUACUGGGAAGCUAGAGUAUGGGAGAGGAUGGUAGAAUUCCAGGUGUAGCGGUGAAAUGCGUAGAGAUCUGGAGGAAUACCGAUGGCGAAGGAAGCCAUCUGGCCUAAUACUGACGCUGAGGUACGAAAGCAUGGGGAGCAAACAGGAUUAAAUACCCGCGUAGUCCCUGUCUCUUAUAC
rnacentral:rRNA from 1 species